UUUUUCCUGUAGGUGUCAGUGUCGAGAACGUGGUGAGGUCAGCUGUGUUUGCUGCCCUGAACAGGCAUGCCUCGCCGACCUGACUGGGCAGCGAUAAUAUUAUUUGGUUAAUCGAGACCAGUGCAGUAUCACCUCCAAUCCAGCGGCAGCGAAAAGGAUUUGAUCCCACCAAGUCAGUGUCAGUGAUGGCGAAGGAGACUUUGAACCUCUAAAACAAUUCCUGAUGAAACAAAAUCACGUGAGAAAUAGAGAAAAGAAUCUAUGAAAAACACAGUGAUGAUUUUAUAUUCUUACGAACUCUUUUUUUUUUUUUUUUUUUUUUUGCUUUUUUUUCAAAUAAAGAAGUAACACACGUGAUGGAAAACUGUUUAUUAUGAAAAAAACAAUACCUUUGCCCGAGAAAGUCUCAAAGUGACGGCCAAGUGGAAAAUGUGCUCCAUAGCGGCUGAGAAACUUUUCUUCAUUUUAGCACAGGAAAAUGGACGCUUAAAUACUUUACUACGUCACUAUGACUUUCCCAACGUGUUUUUUUUUUUUUGGUGACGCAGAGACAGGGUCUGGAUACGUGGAAUAAAUGACAAUUGAUACUUUUUCUCUCUCCAACUCUUUUUUUUUUGUCUAUCAACCCGCCAUUUGUAUCUUAUCUCUAAAGCAGUCAGCCAAUCUAUAUAUCUGAUCUAACUAUUAAUCACUCUUUCCGUCUCUCUGACUACACCUAUUCAUCUAAAUCUUUAUCGGUCUAUUUAUCUCUCUAUCAAUUUCGCUAUUUUUCUAUCUAUCUCUGGCUAAACUUAUUUAUCUAUCUCCUUACCUAGAUAUUUAUAUUUCUAUCCAUCUCUUUAACAGUAUAUUUAUUUUUCUAUCUAUCUCUUUGCCUACAUAUUUAUUUUCCUAUCUCAGGCCAAAUCUAUUUAUCUAUUUCUUUAUCGAACUGUUAAUUGUCUGUCUUUCUCUGACUAAAUCUAUUGAUCUACCACUCCAUCGAUCUAUUUAUCCGUUUAUCUAUCAAUCUAUUUUUUCAUGUAUAUCUUUAGGUAAACCUAUUCAUCUAUCUCUUUUCCCUUUAUAUUCAUUAUUCUAUCCAUCUCUUGUCUAUCUCUUGACUAUGCCUAUUUAUUUAUCUCUUUGCCAAUCUAUUACCUCUCUCUACCUCUCUCUGACUAAAUAUAUUUAUCUACCACGUAAUCUAUCUAUCUAUCUAUCCGCUUAUCUCCCUCCCACCCCCACCCCUUUCCAAGACUUCAGCUAUUCUGCAAACUUUCAACAGUAUACGGG